AGAUCAUGUUGGGAGGACAUCUUCUGAUAAGUUGCUUGUAUCUCUCCCAAGCUUCAUAGAGGGAUUCACCUUCUUUUUGUCUGAAAGUUUAAACUUCCACCCUAAGUCU